CCUACGGGCGGCAGCAGUGGGGAAUAUUGGACAAUGGGGGCAACCCUGAUCCAGCCAUGCCGCGUGUGUGAAGAAGGCCCUCGGGUUGUAAAGCACUUUCAGUGAGGAAGAACGCCUGGUGGUUAAUACCCAUCAGGAAAGACAUCACUCACAGAAGAAGCACCGGCUAACUCCGUGCCAGCAGCCGCGGUAAUACGGAGGGUGCGAGCGUUAAUCGGAAUUACUGGGCGUAAAGCGCGCGUAGGUGGCUUGAAAAGCCGGUUGUGAAAGCCCCGGGCUCAACCUGGGAACGGCAUCCGGAACUGUCAAGCUAGAGUGCAGGAGAGGAAGGUAGAAUUCCCGGUGUAGCGGUGAAAUGCGUAGAGAUCGGGAGGAAUACCAGUGGCGAAGGCGGCCUUCUGGACUGACACUGACACUGGGGUGCGAAAGCGUGGGUAGCAAACAGGAUUAGAUACCCCUGUAGUC
rnacentral:rRNA from 1 species